UGUUGCCUCUUUGUGGGCUUAUUCACACGACUGUGGUUUGGUUCCACAUACAAGCCGCAUUUUUUGCGGCUUGGGUGUGGACACAUUCACUUCAAUGGGGCCGCAAAAGAUGCGGAUAGCACUCCGUGUGCUGUCCCCAUCCGUUGCUCCGUUCCGUGGCCUCGCAAAA